rnacentral:rRNA from 1 species
GGACUACACGGGUUUCUAAUCCUGUUUGCUCCCCACGCUUUCGCGCCUCAGCGUCAGUCUCGGUCCAGAGCGCCGCCUUCGCCACCGGUGUUCUUCCCAAUAUCUACGAAUUUCACCUCUACACUGGGAAUUCCACGCUCCUCUCCCGAACUCCAGCCCGCCAGUCUCGCGCGCACCUCCCAGGUUGAGCCCGGGGCUUUCACACGCGACUUGACGGGCCGCCUACACGCCCUUUACGCCCAGUAAUUCCGAACAACGCUCGCCCCCUUCGUAUUACCGCGGCUGCUGGCAC